rnacentral:rRNA from 2 species
AAAUUGAAGAGUUUGAUCAUGGCUCAGAUUGAACGCUGGCGGCAGGCCUAACACAUGCAAGUCGAACGGUAACAGGAAGCAGCUUGCUGCUUUGCUGACGAGUGGCGGACGGGUGAGUAAUGUCUGGGAAACUGCCUGAUGGAGGGGGAUAACUACUGGAAACGGUGGCUAAUACCGCAUAACGUCGCAAGACCAAAGAGGGGGACCUUCGGGCCUCUUGCCAUCAGAUGUGCCCAGAUGGGAUUAGCUUGUUGGUGAGGUAACGGCUCACCAAGGCGACGAUCCCUAGCUGGUCUGAGAGGAUGACCAGCCACACUGGAACUGAGACACGGUCCAGACUCCUACGGGAGGCAGCAGUGGGGAAUAUUGCACAAUGGGCGCAAGCCUGAUGCAGCCAUGCCGCGUGUAUGAAGAAGGCCUUCGGGUUGUAAAGUACUUUCAGCGGGGAGGAAGGUGUUGUGGUUAAUAACCACAGCAAUUGACGUUACCCGCAGAAGAAGCACCGGCUAACUCCGUGCCAGCAGCCGCGGUAAUACGGAGGGUGCAAGCGUUAAUCGGAAUUACUGGGCGUAAAGCGCACGCAGGCGGUCUGUCAAGUCGGAUGUGAAAUCCCCGGGCUCAACCUGGGAACUGCAUUCGAAACUGGCAGGCUUGAGUCUUGUAGAGGGGGGUAGAAUUCCAGGUGUAGCGGUGAAAUGCGUAGAGAUCUGGAGGAAUACCGGUGGCGAAGGCGGCCCCCUGGACAAAGACUGACGCUCAGGUGCGAAAGCGUGGGGAGCAAACAGGAUUAGAUACCCUGGUAGUCCACGCCGUAAACGAUGUCUACUUGGAGGUUGUGCCCUUGAGGCGUGGCUUCCGGAGCUAACGCGUUAAGUAGACCGCCUGGGGAGUACGGCCGCAAGGUUAAAACUCAAAUGAAUUGACGGGGGCCCGCACAAGCGGUGGAGCAUGUGGUUUAAUUCGAUGCAACGCGAAGAACCUUACCUGGUCUUGACAUCCACAGAAGAAUCCAGAGAUGGAUUUGUGCCUUCGGGAACUGUGAGACAGGUGCUGCAUGGCUGUCGUCAGCUCGUGUUGUGAAAUGUUGGGUUAAGUCCCGCAACGAGCGCAACCCUUAUCCUUUGUUGCCAGCGAUUAGGUCGGGAACUCAAAGGAGACUGCCAGUGAUAAACUGGAGGAAGGUGGGGAUGACGUCAAGUCAUCAUGGCCCUUACGACCAGGGCUACACACGUGCUACAAUGGCGCAUACAAAGAGAAGCGACCUCGCGAGAGCAAGCGGACCUCAUAAAGUGCGUCGUAGUCCGGAUUGGAGUCUGCAACUCGACUCCAUGAAGUCGGAAUCGCUAGUAAUCGUGGAUCAGAAUGCCACGGUGAAUACGUUCCCGGGCCUUGUACACACCGCCCGUCACACCAUGGGAGUGGGUUGCAAAAGAAGUAGGUAGCUUAACCUUCGGGAGGGCGCUUACCACUUUGUGAUUCAUGACUGGGGUGAAGUCGUAACAAGGUAACCGUAGGGGAACCUGCGGUUGGAUCACCUCCUUA